CCAAUGGCUGAGAACACGGGGUCACUUAUUAUUUAUCUGUCUAAACGACCUCACCCCCCGUCUCGUCUCUCUCACACAAACCCUAGCCCCUCCUGCCCUCCACCAUCUAUGGCCUUAGACCGCCGCCGAAAAUUGCCUCACGGCAGCAGCCGGCUACCAAACGCCCUCAAAUUUACACCAUGGACUCCCACCACCCUCCCCAUUCCAAAUUCGUAACUAGCUUCCUUCGAAUUCCACCUAGUCUCCUCGAAUAACCCAAACCCUAGGCACCGCCUCCAAACCACCCCAAAUCAGUACCCUGAGAUCCCCUUUCCCCCCCUCUUGAUAAAUCUUAUACUGGUUCCCCUCAGACAUCCAAGAAAUCUCUCGAAUCUCGAAUUUAGUUUAACCCUAAAAUCCAAAAUUUUCAGUUGAAAUCUUCGUCAAGGUUUUGGUUGCGUUAUGAGGUUAUCUAUGUGUUUUGGUUAAAAGCACAUGAAUAGCCUCAGAUUGAAUCAGGACAUGACAUGCUAAAGAUCCUCGUUGAUUUCUGUACGAUUAUUUCGUUAGGUAUUUCCUCUAUCUCGUUUUCUUUGGUGUAAGUUUGUCUAUUCCUCCAUCUCUUCUUUGAUUCUAUUAAUUGUUUGAUCAGCUAUGUUCCUGCAAGGAGUCAACUAGCUUUGGACUAAUUUAGGACUUUGUUUUGGCUUGAUUAACUAUUCUUCAUGAUUAAUUGAUUUAAAUUUGUUUAGGAUUUUAAUUGAUUCUGUUUUCGUUUUAGUUUUUGGUUUAAUUUUGUUCUGUUUUGAUUUUUUCUAGUUUUAUUUUGUGUUUUGUUUUGAUUAAAUAAUCCAUGAUUGCUGCUGAUAAUUUGAUUUUAGUUUGAAUUUCCAUUAAUUGUCAGUUUACUAAUUGUUAGUUUUAAUUUCAUGAUUAGUUGAAUUGUUUAAUUAGUUUAAAUUUUAGUAUCUGUUUGGUUAUAGCUAAAUAGGCUAGAUUUUUGUUUAACCAUGGUUAAUUCUUGACCAGGUUAUCAGAGUAAAAGGGGUUGGUUUUAGUUUGUUAACUUUCAGAAGUAAAAAAGGGUAGUCUUGUAUUUCAGAAUCAGGGAAUCUUUAGUAACUGAAAUUAGAAGCCACUAGAAGCACCUUGAAGGGGUUCUAAUUGGAAUUUCAGAUUCAUAGCGGUGUGACUUGGGUAGCAAGUUAAUAAAUAAGGGACUUCUAAGCUAAAAGCAAGAGUUAAAAAAGGGACUAAAGUGCAAAACAAAACCUACAGGGCUGCCCUAAUACUUUGCCUACAAAGGCAUCCUAACUUGAAUCUCAAGGGAGAUUUUGAAUAAGGAUUGCAUAGCUAAAAGUCCAGCAAAAUACACAAAAAGGGUUUAGGAGCCUAAAAAUAGAGAGAAAUUUGAGGCGGCUGUCAUUUUUAAGCACUGUUCCAUUGAGAUUUAAUUUUGAACUUUGGAGUCUUUUGAAUGGCUGAAGCAAAUAUAAAUUUACAUAGAUUUCAAAAAGGUUUGAGGUUGAGUUUUUUGAAAUUUCUGGGCUAAGCUGUUUUGAAAUAACUAUUCCAUUGGUUUCAUACCUUGAGAAUUCAACCUCUUGGACCUGGGAUAGAUCUGCUGCUAUUACUACUGCUUUCCUCAGCCUUUCCUUUGUUUUAUCCAGGUAUUUCCUUGGCUCAUGGUUGAGGUUUGAUUGUUGAGCAUGAAAGAAUAGAAGUUUUGUUAAAUGAAGACCUUAUUUGAAGCUGAAUUUCUCCUCCCUGUUACCGUUUUAUGUUCUGUAAUAAGAGUUUAAGUUAUAAAUGUUAAUCAAAGCCUCUUAUUCCUUUGAAAUAUAGUGUGUUAGAAUGAUUUAGUGUCGUACUUUGCAUUCUGUGCAUAAUUGAACAUUGGACUUUAAUUGUUUGAGUGUAUGUUGGCUGCCGCAUCAGGUUGUUAAUCUUUGUGAACGUCUGAGAAUCACUUAGAUUUGGUCUUGGACUUCAUAGUCGAUACUCUAGGGCAAUCUGCCUUGAAAUUGGUUUACGUUUUUUGCUGCAAUUAGUUGAUAUUUUCAUAUGAUUUGUGUUUAAUUAGCUAAAAAUAGAAAUUCCAACUGUUAUAGCAUGAAGUCCUGCCUGUUUAAGAUUCAGGACUGCAGAUGUGACUUUAACAUGAUUUGGGAUGAUUUGGAUAGUUGUUGAUUAUAUUAACUAGCUAAUCCUACAUAUGGGCCAUCGUAUAUUAGCUUGAGACAUUAAAUGUGUAUUAAUUGAAGAAUAUUUUCCCUCAACUUUACUGUGAAACUGUUUGGAUUUGGGCGUGAUUCUCUGCAUAUCAUGCGUUUAAAUUUGCCUAUUCAUGCUUAAGUUCUUUAAUGUUCAAAAGGCUGUGAAUGGACUUAGAGAUUGCAAUUAGAUCUUGGUUGGUAUUCUCUAGAAUUGUAUUGUGCAUAUUUUAAAUUCAAAUGAUGAAUGACUUGUGCCCAGAAUUUCACCAGCAUGAUCAUAUAUUUUAUUGGGUCCAACUCGCAUAUUUGAAUAGUCAGCCAUCGGUUGGCUUCAAGAGCUUGGCAUUGGGCAUAGUUUCCAUGCCUCAUGUUGGGCCUAUGGCAUUUAAUUUGAAAUAUUCA
rnacentral:lncRNA from 1 species